rnacentral:lncRNA from 1 species
CGCGACGAAACCGAUCAUCUCUCCAAUAAGCAAAACCACACACACAAAUACAUAUAAAAUAUAUGUAUAUCCCAUUUUCUCGAAAUCCAAGCAUCAAACCUAAAAUUCGUCAGUGCCAUUGGAUCUGAGAUAGUCGUACCAUUGAAAACGAGUUAUUAGAUCACCAUGAACGGAGUCCGAUACGUGCCGGAAGCCACCUCUACUCAAUGGCCUCUCCGAAAAUCCGAAUUACUAUUCACUUUACAUGAAAAGUAAAGAUGGUGUAAAAUCUCCAUUCUAACUCGUUUUUUCCCGAAACUUGACGAGUGCUUUUGUAAUUAAAAUACACACAAAAAUAUCAUCAACAAAGAGUUUAGCUACACUGUCAAAUUCUCAGUCCUUACAUUAUGCACUAAAAGGGCUAUUUGGUUGGAUGCUAACUAUAUACAAAUUAAAAU